rnacentral:lncRNA from 1 species
ACAUUCUCUGUUUCAUCAUUUGCCCAGUUCCAUAGAUUGGUACAGUGUGAGUCAGUAUUUUGUAGUAACAACAGCUAACGUUCCCUAAGAGUAUGUGAUGUACUUAGACCUGGAUAAAAAAGCAUUUUGUGCAGUCUGAAAGACUGAAUGAACAGAAAGGCUAAUUCAGAAAGUUACUGUUGCCCUCCACAGCAUCAUACACUGGUCAGAGGGGCAGCAGAAGAAAUACAGCUCAGGGUAUAGAUCCAGCCUUAUCUUCUACAACUGUGUAGAAGGCUGGAAUCUUGGUAGGCCUGCUUCCUGUCUGUUACCAAUCCUAUACUCAUGUCCUUUCACUUGAUGGAACUAAGUGACGGUUCAGACAAAGUCACACCGUUCAACGGACCUCAGGAGGGAAGUAAAGGAAGAGAGCAAGAAACUUGGAACUGAAAUUCUAUUGGAAGAAGUUGAAGAAACUCACAGGGCUACAGGGGGAACCUAUUGAAGAACCCCCUGCAAGUUUUCCCAGAAUCUUAUGAGAUGCCUGAAGAUGACCCAAAGCCACAGGGAGGACCCCAUCUGAAAGACAUAGCUCCCUCCUGUGUCUCUGUGCCCUUGGUACCCGAGAACAGAACACAGAUUCCCUAUGUGGUUCUCCAGCUAAGCACAUCAACUAGAUGAUAACAAAGACAACACAAGGUGAAACCAAACCAAACCAAUGUUUACCAAGUAAACAAAACUGGAAAAAAUGUAAUGAAUUUUAGGAGAUGCUAUAUGUAGUGAUUGUAAUUGAAAUGGAAACUAUAAAAUGUAAGUUGUAUUGUCCUGUAACUCGGAUGGGACACUGUCUCUGAAGGCAUUAAUCAACUCUUCAAAGUCUAGCAUGGUGCUAUCUUACUGUCAGUAUCCACAAUAUCUCAAGAACAUUAAUUUAUGCCAUUUCAUGUAAACCAUUUUCAGGGAAUCUCAGUAGUGAUGUCAGGGU